rnacentral:rRNA from 1 species
AGUCGUAACAAGGUUUCCGUAGGUGAACCUGCGGAAGGAUCAUUAGUGAAUAUAGGACGUCCAACUUAACUUGGAGUCCGAACUCUCACUUUCUAACCCUGUGCACUUGUUUGGGAUAGUAACUCUCGCAAGAGAGCGAACUCCUAUCCACUUAUAAACACAAAGUCUAUGAAUGUAUUAAAUUUUAUAACAAAAUAAAACUUUCAACAACGGAUCUCUUGGCUCUCGCAUCGAUGAAGAACGCAGCGAAAUGCGAUAAGUAAUGUGAAUUGCAGAAUUCAGUGAAUCAUCGAAUCUUUGAACGCACCUUGCGCUCCAUGGUAUUCCGUGGAGCAUGCCUGUUUGAGUGUCAUGAAUACUUCAACCCUCCUCUUUCUUAAUGAUUGAAGAGGUGUUUGGUUUCUGAGCGCUGCUGGCCUUUACGGUCUAGCUCGUUCGUAAUGCAUUAGCAUCCGCAAUCGAACUUCGGAUUGACUUGGCGUAAUAGACUAUUCGCUGAGGAAUUCUAGUCUUCGGAUUAGAGCCGGGUUGGGUUAAAGGAAGCUUCUAAUCAGAAUGUCUACAUUUUAAGAUUAGAUCUCAAAUCAGGUAGGACUACCCGCUGAACUUAAGCAUAUCUAAAAGUCG